AACUUGUAACAACGGAUCACUUGGCUCUCGCGUCGAUUAAGAACGCAGCGAAAUGCGAUAAGUAAUGUGAAUUGCAGAAUUCAGUGAAUCAUCGAAUCUUUGAACGCACCUUGCACCCCUUGGUAUUCCGAGGGGUGCACCCGUUUGAGUGUCGUGAACACCCUCAACCUUUUUGGUUUAUCAACCGAGAAGGCUUGGACUUUGGAGGUUUUUGUUGCUGGCCUCGUUUGAAGCCAGCUCCUCCUAAAUGAAUUAGUGGGGUCCGCUGUGCCGAUCCUCGACGUGAUAAGUACGCUUCUACGUCUUGGGGUUUCGCACUGUUGCCCUGGAAUCCCGCUUCCAACCGUCUUUGAAUGAAGACAAUGUUCGAGUUGCGACUCGACCUUAUAAACCUUGACCUCAAAUCGGGUGAGACUACCCGCUGAACUUAAGCAUAUCAAUAAGCGGAGGCU
rnacentral:misc_RNA from 1 species